rnacentral:lncRNA from 7 species
UGAACACAAUAUAAUAUUCUGCUAUAGAAAUCAUGAUUGUGUAAUUGUUUGUUGCAAUAUGUUAUAUUUGAUUUAUGGUUGAUCUGUUUUAUAUCAGCUAGGGGGUUGAGCUAGAUUAUGGAAAUGUCACCAGCAGGAUCACAAUCAACACUGAUCAUGGUCUCUCAAGUUACAACAAGCAAUAUGCAAGGGACUCUUCAAAAAAGUGAUGCCUUAACUACCAGCUUCAGAGGCUAGCCAUGCUUCGAGAAUACCAACAACAAAAUGUUGAUGAAAAUCACUGAACCAACAGUGACACCACAAAGCAGGAAUGCCAGGACCACUUCUAAGAUGAUAUGAAUCUGCACAUCAUGAGUGCAGUUUCUGCAAGUUGCUUUGCGAGGUCAACAGAAACACAGAAAACUGAUGGUGAUGCCCUUAUACCUAAGAUCUUUGAUGCUAGUGUGAACCUGGGGUGGUUCUAUAACCGGGACACAGAAGAGUGGUAUAAAAAAGGACUUACCCACCCUUCCCCUGCCAAAAAAGGGCAAAGAAACUCUUCCAAGAUUGUGACUUUGAAGAUGUUGAUGGUGAUGCCUCUGCCAAAGAUGAGGCUGAGCUAGGGUACUCAGCCUAUCUAUUUCUCAAUUUCAUCAUAUUUAUAAUUGUCAAUGCAAUUGGAGAUGAUAAAAAUGCUCUAUUUUACAUAAAAACACUGAUCUUGAUUUGGAUUGUUUG